CCCGGUAAAUGUGCGCGAGCGAGAGUGAAAGCACCCUGACCUCCUCAUUAUUCUCCGCCUUGAAGUUCAUUGAAAAGCGACAUUGUUUCUUUAAGAUUGCACUUGCAGCCAUCGGCUACUCUGUCCAUUGUUGGGGGAACAGAACUCGAGUUGAGAUUGAUAUACGGGGGCCGCGGUCGAGUCGCGCAUAUCAUCAGCGGAGCAGCUGCAGAGCAGGCGGCCGACGGGACCUGAACGCACCACUCCAGACAUGGGUUGCUAUGAUUGCUGUAUGCGCUGUUUGGGUGGGGUACCCUACUGCUCCCUGGUCGCCACGCUGCUUUGCUUCUCCGGCAUCGCCCUCUUCUGCGGCUGUGGGCACCAGGCGCUCACGGAAACCGAGAGACUCAUCGAGAAUUACUUUGCUCGUAACCUUCAGGAUUACAUCACCCUCGCUUACAUCAUCCAAUAUUUCCAGUAUGUCAUCUAUGGCUUGGCCUCGUUUUUCUUCCUCUACUGCAUCGUGCUUCUGGCAGAGGGUUUCUACACCACAAGCGCUGCCAAGCAAACCUUCGGAGAGUUCAGGAGCACCAUGUGCGGCCGCUGCCUCAGCUCCUCGUUUAUAGUGAUGACGUAUGUGCUGGCCGUCCUGUGGCUGCUGGUCUUCGCUUUCUCGGCCUUGCCCGUCUACUUCUUCUACAACAUGGACGCGACCUGCCACACCAUUGACGUUCUGACAGAGACCCCGGCCAGCAUCAACCAGCUCUGUGUGGAUGCGCGACAGUACGGACUCUUGCCUUGGAAUGCAGUACCAGGGAAAGCUUGUGGCAUGACCUUGUCCAAUGUUUGCAAGACUAGAGAGUACCGAAUGACCUACGACCUUUAUAUUGCUGCCUUUGCCGGCGCGGGCAUCACCCUCUUGGCUCUGCUGACCUAUACUGUGUCAACCACCUAUAACUUUGCGGUGCUGCGGUAUCUGGGGAGAAAGGGCAUAGGCGCACGGUGUUAGGCACACCCAUCCUCCUGUCGACUCUGUCUGCUAUGCCACCAACAAGGGGAACUAAAGGACUGACACACAUCCACCAGAUGUUCAUCAUCCCAUUACCAAAAUGUUUGUGCACUGUUCCCUUCACUUGGCUGUGUACCAGGCGCACCUGAGGAAGCUCAGGCACAGGGCGAAAGAGGAGAGGAGAGGCUGCGACCUGUACAGGAGGCUGCAGAGGGACAGAGGGGGGCUGCUGCGCUCUCCCUACCCUGCAAACACCACCGACUCCCCCUGAUGGCAUCUCCAGUCCUGCUGCACCGUACCCAGCACACACCGGCAUCUCAGCAAUUUGUUUCUAUUUCAGUUAAAUGACCUAAUUUGUGAUAUUUCCCUUCAUGUUUUCAUUAAAAUGCAUGCAUUUGUGUUCAAAAAAUGCUAAAAUCUUUCCUUUUCAGACUGAGUUUAACGGCCCAGUGUUCUGUUCUGCAUGUGACCACCGCAUAUAGAUUUUGCACACCUGGGUUUUUCCAUUUAAAUCAGAUUCAGAAAUGUGUAUCUGGGAGACUUGAUUUCUUUCCUCCCGUCGCCUCACCCAGGUCUGAUUUCACAGUAUGCGGCGCAUGCUUGAUAUCCUCGUUUAAUGAAGGGAAAAUAAAAAUGCAGAGCAUGUUUGAUAUCCUUUUUGUUUUAAUGAAGACGAACAGCGCUCGCUGUCUCUCG